UACAGAGGGGGCAAGCGUUGUUCGGAAUUACUGGGCGUAAAGCGUGCGCAGGCGGUUUUGUAAGCCGGAUGUGAAAUCCCCGGGCUUAACCUGGGAAUGGCAUUCGGGACUGCAAGGCUGGAGUGCGGCAGAGGAGACUGGAAUUCCUGGUGUAGCAGUGAAAUGCGUAGAUAUCAGGAGGAACACCGAUGGCGAAGGCAGGUCUCUGGGCUGACACUGACGCUCAUGCACGAAAGCGUGGGGAGCAAACAGG
rnacentral:rRNA from 1 species